rnacentral:hammerhead_ribozyme from 1 species
AUCCAGCUGACAAGUCUCAAAUAGGACGAAAUGCACGUUCUGGAC